GCCUGGUAGUGGGGGACAACGUUUCGAAAGGAACGCUAAUACCGCAUACGUCCUACGGGAGAAAGCAGGGGACCUUCGGGCCUUGCGCUAUCAGAUGAGCCUAGGUCGGAUUAGCUAGUUGGUGAGGUAAUGGCUCACCAAGGCGACGAUCCGUAACUGGUCUGAGAGGAUGAUCAGUCACACUGGAACUGAGACACGGUCCAGACUCCUACGGGAGGCAGCAGUGGGGAAUAUUGGACAAUGGGCGAAAGCCUGAUCCAGCCAUGCCGCGUGUGUGAAGAAGGUCUUCGGAUUGUAAAGCACUUUAAGUUGGGAGGAAGGGUUGUAGAUUAAUACUCUGCAAUUUUGACGUUACCGACAGAAUAAGCACCGGCUAACUCUGUGCCAGCAGCCGCGGUAAUACAGAGGGUGCAAGCGUUAAUCGGAAUUACUGGGCGUAAAGCGCGCGUAGGUGGUUUGUUAAGUUGGAUGUGAAAUCCCCGGG
rnacentral:rRNA from 1 species